CUCCCGCUCAAACCAGCCUUCUACAGCCGAACUUUGAUGCAGCUUUUGGGACAACAGCUCCAACGACUGGCAGCUCGUUUGAUGCAUCAGUGUUUGACGGCCUAGGUGAUCUUCUUAUGCCAACUAUGGUUCCUUCUGGUCAGUCCAUAGCACCUGCAGCCACACCAACAGUCCCUGCUUCAGCAGCAAGCAAAGGCCUCGGAAGUGAUCUUGACUCGUCUCUUGCAAACCUAGUAGGCAAUCUUGGAAUUUCUGGUACCACUUCAAAAAAGUAAGUUCAACUUCGUUUACAAAAAAAAAUAAUUUUUGACUCUGCUGUAUAGUCUUCCAUCUAUUUCAGUGUUUAUUAAAAAUCAAUGAAUUGGCCAUGUGCCUGUUCCCCCACUCCCAAAAAAAAUCAUUUCAGAAAAAUUCUGGAAAAAGUAUUCUAUUCUAUACAGAUUAACUGA